UGGGGAAUAUUGCACAAUGGGGGAAACCCUGAUGCAGCGACGCCGCGUGAACGAAGAAGGUAUUCGUAUCGUAAAGUUCUGUCCUAUGGGAAGAUAAUGACAGUACCAUAGAAGAAAGCUCCGGCUAAAUACGUGCCAGCAGCCGCGGUAAUACGUAUGGAGCGAGCGUUGUCCGGAAUUAUUGGGCGUAAAGGGUACGCAGGCGGUUUAAUAAGUCGAAUGUUAAAGAUCGGGGCUCAACCCCGUAAAGCAUUGGAAACUGAUAAACUUGAGUAGUGGGGAGGAAAGUGGAAUUCCUAGUGUAGUGGUGAAAUACGUAGAUAUUAGGAGGAAUACCAGUAGCGAAGACGACUUUCUGGACACAAACUGACGCUGAGGUACGAAAGCGUGGGGAGCAAACAGG
rnacentral:rRNA from 1 species